rnacentral:rRNA from 1 species
UACGUAGGGUCCGAGCGUUUAAUCGGAAUUACUGGGCGUAAAGCGUGCGCAGGCGGUUUUGUAAGCCAGAUGUGAAAUCCCCGGGCUUAACUUGGGAACUGCAUUUGGGACUGCAAGGCUGGAGUACGGCAGAGGGAGGUGGAAUUCCACGUGUAGCAGUGAAAUGACGUAGAGAUGUGGAGGAACACCGAUGGCGAAGGCAGCCUCCUGGGCUAGUACUGACGCUCAUGCACGAAAGCGUGGGGAUCAAACAGG